rnacentral:rRNA from 1 species
AUACGGAGGAUCCGAGCGUUAUCCGGAUUUAUUGGGUUUAAAGGGUGCGCAGGCGGCCAUUUAAGUCGGCGGUUAAAUCGUGGGGCUCAACCCCAUUCUGCCGUUGAUACUGGGUGGCUUGAUUGCGGUCGAGGUUGGCGGAAUUCGUUGUGUAGCGGUGAAAUGCAUAGAUAUGACGAAGAACACCGAUUGCGUAGGCAGCUGACCAGACCGCAAAUGACGCUCAUGCACGAAAGUGCGGGGAUCGAACAGGAUUAGAUACCCUGGUAGUCCGCACAGUAAACGAUGAAUACUUGUUUUCGGCGAUAUAAUGUCGGAGGCAAAGCGAAGGCGAUAAGUAUUCCACCUGGGGAGUACGCCGGCAACGGUGAAACUCAAAGGAAUUGACGGGG